rnacentral:rRNA from 1 species
GAUGAACGCUAGCGGCAGGCUUAAUACAUGCAAGUCGUGGGGCAGCAUGAGUAGCAAUACUUGAUGGCGACCGGCAAACGGGUGAGGAACACGUACACAACCUUCCUUCAAGCGGGGAAUAGCCCAGAGAAAUUUGGAUUAAUACCCCAUAAUAUAUUUGAUAAGGCAUCUUAUUAAUAUUAAAGCUUCGGCACUUGAUGAUGGGUGUGCGGCUGAUUAGAUAGUUGGCGGGGUAACGGCCCACCAAGUCUACGAUCAGUAGCUGAUGUGAGAGCAUGAUCAGCCACACGGGCACUGAGACACGGGCCCGACUCCUACGGGAGGCAGCAGUAAGGAAUAUUGGACAAUAGGACGG